rnacentral:rRNA from 1 species
UACGUAGGGACCAAGCGUUGUUCGGAUUUACUGGGCGUAAAGGGCGCGUAGGCGGCGCGGUAAGUCACUUGUGAAAUCUCUGAGCUUAACUCAGAACGGCCAAGUGAUACUGCAGUGCUAGAGUGUGGAAGGGGCAAUCGGAAUUCUUGGUGUAGCGGUGAAAUGCGUAGAUAUCAAGAGGAACACCUGAGGUGAAGACGGGUUGCUGGCCAACACUGACGCUGGAUGCGCGAAAGCCAGGGGAGCAAACGGG